CUUCAUAUUGGCUGGUCUGGCCAAGCCUGACACAAAACACUCCCCUCUGUAGUGCUUGCUUGCUCUGAAAUCCGAAAAGUGACUGGUAAUCAUGGGAGGGAGAUCUCACUUCGAGAAAUUCCUCAAUACCUUCGCUACAAGUACCACAAAACAUGACAAAACCCCGACUUUCUUUGCUUUUAAUCUGAAUAUCCCCUUCCCAUUUCUGUUUCAACCGGUCGGAUUGCAGUUCUUAUCUGCUUCUUUCACUGACGAGAAGGAAAUGGUUCAAACAACCGGUUGACAACAUUGAAACUGAUCAUAAGCAAUAGAAAGUUCAACCCCUGCUUCAUAGCUUGACUCAGGAAUCACUUCCCCUUGCAAGAAGCUUUUCUUACUCAGAAACUGUGAAGAAAUCUUCCCAACAUAGUGUCCGUAUUUUAGAUGAUCAUCGAUACAGCAACUGGGAUUACCAGUCAUAAACAUCAAAUGCAUCAUCUCGAUCACAGAUGCUGCAUUCUCC